rnacentral:rRNA from 1 species
AUAAUAUAAGAUUUAACCUGCCCACUGAUAAAUUUAAUGGCCGCGGUAUUUUGACCGUGCAAAGGUAGCAUAAUAAUUAGUUUUUUGAUUGGAAGCUGGAAUGAAUGGUUGGACGAGAAAAUUACUGUCUCUUAUUAAUUUUUAAUAAAAUUUUAUUUUUAAGUUAAAAAGCUUAAAUACCGUUAAAAGACGAGAAGACCCUAUAGAGUUUUAUAGCUUUACUUAAAUUUAAUUUAAAGUAUCUAAGUUUUGUUUUAUUUGAGGUUAUUUUGUUGGGGUGAUAGGAAGAUUAGAUUAACUCUUUUAUUUUUUUAUACUUUUAUGUAAAUAUUUGAUCCAAAUUUUUUGAUUAAUAGAAUAAAUUACCUUAGGGAUAACAGCGUGAUCUUUUUAGAGAGUUCUUAUCGAAAUAAGGGAUUGCGACCUCGAUGUUGGAUUAAAGUUUAUUUUAGGUGUAGAAGCUUGAAAAUUAAGUCUGUUCGACUUUUGAAACUUUACAUGAUCUGAGUUUAAACCGGUGUGAGCCAGGUUGGUUUCUAUCUUUAUUAAGAUAAAAUGUUUUAGUACGAAAGGACCAA